rnacentral:rRNA from 1 species
UACGUAGGCAGCGAGCGUUGUUCGGAGUUACUGGGCGUAAAGCGUGCGUAGGCGGUGCCAUAAGUCUGUUGUGAAAUCUCCCGGCUUAACUGGGAGGGUGCGGUGGAAACUGUGGUGCUGGAGUGUGGGAGAGGUAGGCGGAAUUCCUGGUGUAGCGGUGAAAUGCGCAGAUAUCAGGAGGAACACCGGUGGCGAAGGCGGGUCUCUGGGCCGAUACUGACGCUGAGGAGCGAAAGCGUGGGGAGCGAACAGG